GUCAGGUGCCUGGGCUUGUCAGAUGAUCAAAACAGCCAUUUUAGACUUACUGUUCUGAUAAGCCCUUAUAAACGCUCUGAGGUUUGGUGCUACUUUGGUGGAGGUCUCCUGGCCUAGCGUGAUGGUCUCUUGAUGGCCCGGCAUGGCAGUCUUUCAGCACAGGAUGACACGAGUGUGGACUUCCAGUCUCAAGAAUGGGAAGUUGCUGCCAACCAGCAGAAGAUCUGAUGUCAAUAUCUUCUGACUGAAGUUAAUGUGUGGUUAGGGAUUCUGAGGGCAUCUCAUGGUUGGGAAUGCAAUACAGUGUGGAGAGAAAGGCAGAGAAGACAUCAAUCUUCAAAUGGCAAAUAUCUGCUCUUCCUGGCCCCAUGUAGGAAACUACAAAGUUCAGUUUGAAUGACUUCUGCUCCAAUAUUCUACUGAAAGAUCUUCGUUUUGGCAAUGACAAUUUGCCAUUCAAAAUUUAGUAAAUUUGUUGUUCAUUUGUAGAUGUUUAU